AGCAAGCUGCCGUGGCCCAGAGAGCUGCCCUGGCCCAGCUGGCUUCCCUGGCCCAGCAAGUUUCCGAGGUACAGCAACCUGCCUUUGUUCAGAAACACCUUCCAAGACUGAGCCAAUUCUACUACUCAAAC